rnacentral:sRNA from 1 species
GCUGGGUGCGGUGGCACACACCUGUAAUCCUAGUUGGUCUGGAGGCUGAGGCAGGAGGAUCUCGAGUUCAAAGCCAGCCUCAGCAAAAGCGAGGCACUGAGCAACUCAGUGAGACCCUGUCUCUA